ensembl:lncRNA
AUGUUACACCAGAAAAUAGAACAUUUCUGUGACUGCCGUGUAAGAUGUCUUGCUCCUCCGCUUUCUGCCAUGAUUGAAAGUUUCCUGAGGACUCCCCAGGAGCUGAGCAGAUGCCAGCAUCAUGGUUCCUACACAACCUGCAGAACUGGAACAGAGAUAGCGGGCAUUACUGCGUCUUCUUUCUGCCUAAAACCCAGAUAUGGUGGCUGGAGCUCUUACGACCAUCUUGCAGUGGUGAAGAUGUCAGCCGUAACAUCACUGAGCUGUUGAACCUAUGUAAGCAGCUGUCUGAACUAACUGUCAAGCUUGACAUCCUUGAACUUCUGAACCUGUGUCAGCAACUGCCAAGUUCCAAACUUCAUAUUAGGAAUAAAUAAAACGAGCAACUCAUUGUUUAAGUCCCUAUAGUCAGAUUUUGUUAUUUGUAGUUAUCCUAAUUGAUACAACUCACAAAGACACUGAAGUUGGUUUUAAUUCUGCUCAGUCUAUCUUUUUUCUUCUUUUCCUCUCCUUUACUGUAUUCUCAGUCCAUUUGUUUCUCCUCUCAGCUCUGUUUAUCCUGAUCCCUUUCCCAUCCAGUGUUUCUAUUUGAUUUCAUUUUCAUUUUGAAUUUUUCCUCCUUCCUCUCUUUCUUCCUGGAGUCUAUAGAAGCCUGUCCUGUCCAUCUAUUGUAUGAUGAAAUCUGACUCAGUCCAGGGAAAUCAGUGAUGUGGCCAGCCUUUCUUAUGUUACCCUAACUAUGACCCAUACAUAUCCCUAGAUGGUUGAGGUAAGAUAAGAAAAGAGUUUUCCUUAGGUCUUCGAAAAGUGUCCUGUAAAGAGCAAUGAUUUCCAUGCUCUAUGUGUACCCUCACAAUACUGCUGCUGAUUGCCUACCUAAUAGUCAUUCCCUCGUCCUUCCUUCCUAGCUGAACCCUGAUAUUUUUCUCUGAUAGUUGAGGCGGUUUGUGCUAAUAGAAUGAAGGCCCCUCCUCCAGCCACAAGAAAUCAUCUAUAAGUAUUCAAAGAAUAAUGCUAAUCAUAUUUCCCUUGACUGAAAUGGUCCAUUUCCAUCUAUUCAUGCAUAGUCUACCUUUUCUAUUAGCACCUUCAACAUAUGAAUCCUAGUUAUUUUAAAGUCCCUUUAUAGCCAGGCACGGUGGCUCACACCUGUAAUCCCAGCACUUUGGGAGGCUGAGGUAGGUGGAUCACCUGAGGUCGGGAGUUCAAGACCAGCCUGACCAACAUGGAGAAACCCCGUCUCUACUAAAAAUACAAAAUUAGCCGGGGUGGUGGCGCAUGCCUAUAAUCCCAGCUACUCGGGAGGCUGAGGCAGGAGAAUCGCUUGAACCGGGAGGCAGAGGUUGCUGUGAGCCGAGAUCGCGCCAUGGCACUCCAGCCUGGGAAAAAAGAGCGAAACUCUGUCUCAAAAAAAAAAAAAAAAGUCCCUUUAUGAUAAUCCCAGAAUCUCUAAGCUGUCUCUCUGUUGAUUGCUUUAUCUCUUAACAUUGGACCUUUUUCCCCCCUUUCUUGUUUAUGUCUCAUAAUUUCUACUGAAUGCCAAGCAUUUGUUUGAAGAACAGUAGGGGCUGAAGUGAAUGGUAUUCAUGCCCAGAAAUGGCCAUGCCUCUUCUUCUGUCAAGUUGUUAGUGUGGUUGAGUUGAGAUAGGUUUGGGUUUUGUUACUGCUAUCGUUACUUGUAGUGUGCCACAGACUUUGGAUUCCUCUGGUGGGAUGCUGUCUUUAGCUCUUGCUCAGUGGGAGGCCUUGGAUACUAGAGUACAUUUUUCUGCUUUUGCUUCACUCUCAGAUUUCAAC